rnacentral:tRNA from 1 species
GGCUCCAUAGUGUAGUGGUUAGCACGUAAGCUUUGCACAUAAGCUUUACACGCAGAAGGUCUUGGGUUCGCGCCCCAGAUGGAACCA